rnacentral:rRNA from 1 species
AACUUGCCCCGAGAUGAGUUCUCCCUGACUCCUUGAGAGUCCUGAAGGAACGUUGAAGACGACGACGUUGAUAGGCCGGAUGUGUAAGCGCAGCGAUGCGUUGAGCUAACCGGUACUAAUGAACCGUGAGGCUUAACCUUACAACGCCGAAGCUGUU